rnacentral:lncRNA from 1 species
AUGAAGCAGUUAUGUUUUUUGCAUUCAGUUUUAUGAGGUUCAUCUAAGAUUGUGAGAUUUUGGGCUAAUCAAAUCUGAUUCUUACAAUCGAAGUGGUUCCUGGGACCAAUUUUCUUCUCUCCAUAAGCAUGUACAAAAACAUAGAGGUAAAGGCACUAUCACAGUAGUCAUUACUCGCUCUAUGGCAGAAAAGCAAAAACUCAACUCAACCAACCAUCCAUCUUAUGCAGGGAUCAACAGCGCAACAACAAUUGCACGAAUUGAGAACUAAAGAUUGUCAAAGCGUCACAAUUACCUAUAGCAUAAAGCAGCUAGAUUCACAAAAUACCGCUGCUGCAAUCACAGCAUGCACUGUCAUGCUACCAUCCAUCAUCAACCCAACUACUGUCGCACCAAUCUCAUCUCGACUGCAUCACCAAAAGUGAGUGGUAGCUACCAUUGUCACCUGCUAAUUCCUAAACAUCUAAAUCCGUCUCAACUGCAUACCAAAAGGGAGUGAUAGCUGCCAUUGUCACCUGCUAGUUCCUAACCAUCUAGACCCACCCACAAGUGCUAGCUCAGAGCUCCAGCUUGGUAAGGAUCUGCUCAACCCAGAGCAGGCGAUGCGGCUCAGACAUCGCCAGAAAGGCCUCCCCACGGGGUCUGCCCUCGUUGAGGUAGAAGAGGGCAGCCAGAAGCUGCUCCUUGGUGAAGCCAGGGACGCCCAUCACAAUGGGGUACAGGUCAGGGUGUGGUUCAACUGGAGCAGUGGCAGCACGAACAGCAGAUGCAAGCCCAGCAAUGGCCUCAUGGAGUCGAGCAAACUGCUGGGCGCUGUACUUCCUGCGCCUCAUCAUCACUGCAAUGAAGGACACUGCUGCUGAUGACAUAGCACCAGCAAGAAGGAUCAGCCGCCGUCGACGACGUAGCCAGUCCAC